GACAAUACCUAUACACAACCUGAAAACAUCAUGACAAUAAUCUUUCCGUUCUAACUCAAUGACUUUGCUUGGAACGUUAAGACUAGGUUUAUAUAGCUGAUAUUGUAUCCUUCUAGUUCGAUCAUCUCUGAAUGUGUUGGAGGUCAUCACUUCCCUUGAUUCCGUCACAUCCAGUCUACAGAGCGCUAAUAAGUACAAAAUUAAAAGUUAAUACAUACACAAUGUAGUCACCAAGAAUCACCAUAACCUUGAGUAAGGUGCUAAUCAAGUGAGGCUAAUGAAGCAUUUUUAAAAUACCCAUUAUAAUUCUUUGAUUCUGCCUCUGGUCCCAUUUACUAAUAUGAGAUAAUUUCUCAAAUUAUAAGAGAACCUAAUAGCAAACAAACUUUUGAUGCCAACAGUAAGGCAGGGGCACACUUUGAUUCCUGCUUAACAAGUAAUAAAUUCCUAAGCAGGUUCAGAGAAAGUGAGAAACCAAAUCCUCACCAGCAUCAUGAUAACAAAGAGCGAACAUACACAAGAUAGAAGGUUCAGAGAAACCAAAUCCUCACGAACACCAAGAUAAAAGGUAUGGGACACAAUAAAAUAAUUAUCCAUGUAUAACAGUGCAGCAGAAUUUUAGUGACAAAAAAAUAAUCAUUUUGCUAAAUUAGUUGAAGCAUAUCUAAAACAUAUAAACCUUUCUUCUUGGACAUGCCAGAAUGGAGCAAAUUGAAGGAAAAUUGUUCUCCACGAGUAACUUGUUAAGCUCAGUUGCUAUGUUCACACUUUUGGCAAAAAAUAACAACUUGAUUGAAGUCCAUUGCAAACACAUGGAUUCUUUCCCUUGUUCAGCAAAUACAUCCUUUCUCUUGUUCAAACUGGCAGAUAAUAAUAUUCAUAUACCAAAAACCGCAUGCACCAGAUGAAUACAUAAAUGGCAACGACAUGAGUUAGCCUUAACAUUCUCAAAUCCAAGGGACAAAAAGAUGAAAGAAAAUAAAAUAAAAGGAGGAAAUUAUGAGGUUAAUAUAUUAAAUUUGUUACACAACACUAAUUAAAUCUAUGGGAGGGUUUUUACCUAGACCCACCGAAAACUGAGGGAGAGCAACUCACAGCGGCUCGAAACAACGAUGAGACCAUUGGCGGCUGAAAUUAAAUCGAUUGGCUCCACAGCAGCUUUAAAAUGGUCGACGGCAUCGCUAAGGUUGCUCCCUGCUAGUCCAAUGCGAAGCGGUAGGUAGAGAGGAAGUAUUGCGGCGACUCAAGGGAGCUGGGUCCGAUCUAUUGUGAGAGUUGGAAGCGUGGAGUUGGGUGUUGCGCGAGUGAGCUCUAUGGUGAAGCUGUGCUGCUGGAUUCAAUAAAGGGCACUGGUGUCUGCCUAUGGAGGUCGAAUUAUUCAGGUGGUUUGCAGGUGGUUCACAAGUUGAAAAUCGUGAGAUAGGCAGAAAGCAAAAUUAGGGAUUUUGAUUAUAAAAGAGAUUUGAAAUUUUUGAAGUAUAAUGAAAAGAUAAUCUGUGGGUUUUGAUUCUCAGUAGGGCCAUGGAAGUUACCAAUUUCGUUUGCCAAGCAUGCGGAAAUGAGAGAAGAAAUUUGCGAAAAUAAAAGGAGACGCAGAGUGAAAAGAAAUUUGGGAAGUGAAAGUGAAAUAGAUAGAUAAGUUAUUAAUAAGUAGCACUCAGAAUUUUCAC
rnacentral:lncRNA from 1 species